AGAUUGGUUAAUAGUGUGGUAUGGAGGAUGUCUCAGUAAAGUGAAAAGCCUCAGUAAUGUUUAGGGGUAGCUACAGCUCUUUUUGUUAGCUUGAUGAAUAUUCAAGAUGUUGAAAUGGCUAUGUUCUUUGUCAUUUUGGACAUGUGACUUAGAUGUAGCGUGAUGUAUAUUGCUACCUGGAUGUAUGAGUUUGACAAUAUAAUUUUUUGCAACCUGGGAA
rnacentral:lncRNA from 1 species